UACGAAGGGGGCUAGCGUUGCUCGGAAUCACUGGGCGUAAAGGGUGCGUAGGCGGGUCUUUAAGUCAGGGGUGAAAUCCUGGAGCUCAACUCCAGAACUGCCUUUGAUACUGAGGAUCUUGAGUUCGGGAGAGGUGAGUGGAACUGCGAGUGUAGAGGUGAAAUUCGUAGAUAUUCGCAAGAACACCAAUGGCGAAGGCAGCUCGCUGGGACGGUACUGACGCUGAGACGCGAAAGCGUGGGGAGCAAACAGG
rnacentral:rRNA from 1 species